rnacentral:tRNA from 1 species
AAGAAUUUAUUUUAAUUAAAAAUUUUAGAUUGUAAUUCUAAAGAUUAUAUUCUUAU